AAGUUUCAAACGAAGAUAACAAAAAGGCCAUAUGCAACGUUUGUGCUCCUAUUAUUUCCAGAGGGGAGAAAUUGAAAUCAUUCAAUACCACAAACCUAAUUACUCAUUUGAAAAUGCAUCAUCCCCAGAUGUUCAGAGAAUACUCAGGACAAAAGCAGAAAAAAAAAUGAACACAUACUUCCAACAACUAAACAAGUUCAAGUCGAGCAGUCAUUUGAAAGAGGAAAAACAUUUCAGCAAGACAAUUCAAAGGUGAAACCCAUUAAUGCCAAGAUAAUGGGAUUCAUUGAGCUUGACAAUCAACCGUUCUCGUUCAUGGAUGAUGUUGGCUUUCGACUGGUCAAGCACCUCGAGCCCCAGUACAUACUACCAAGUAGGGGCUAUUUUUCAGAUGUUGCACUACCGGAGUUACACAGUAUUGUUGAAACUCACAUUAAUUAGCUACUUGAUAUGGGCGUCACUGCUAUUAGCUUCACAACUGACAUUUUAACCAGCGAUGUCAGCCCAAUGAGCAUGCUGAGUCUGACAGCACAGUGGGUCGACAAGGAUUUCGUAAUGAGGAAAGCCGUAUUGCAUGCUCAAGAAUGUGCUGGUUCUCAUAACGCUUCUGCCAUUUCAAUGGCAUUUGAGAACAUGUUUGAAACAUGAACACACUCCUAGCUCCAUUCGAACAACUGACUUGAGAAAUAAGCUCAUCAACUGAGUCUACAGCAGACGUGAUUAUCCUCCGUCAUGGCACUUGAAAGACCUGCUCAACAAAACUGUCAAAACAGACCGUGGGGUUAAAACUUGCAAAAGUACUCUACUAGAGGCUGUGAACAAGUGAUUCGGUGGCAUUCUUUGCGGUGUCACCGCUAUGCUCGAUGCUAGAUACAAGGGCCGCUACUUUGAUGCAGACAAGAAACAGGGUUUAACUGAAAUGUUUGACACAGCUGAACAAUAUGGAAACAUACAGAGUGACAGUGCGCACCGAAGAGGACCCACGACAUCCUGGUUGAGAUUGAAAUGACUGAACAAAUGAACAACGAAACAGCACAGCAAUCCAACAGGAGUGUAUCCCUCAGACAAUCCGUUGCAUGGACAUCUUGUACCAGUUGUGAUCCAAGCGCAAGCAUCUAGUUGUGGAGACUACAACAGAUCGAGCCUGUGGACGGACAGACAUGAGGCGUGACAUGCAGAACAACAAGCUCACCCAACGAGAAGCAGUGCAUGAUCAACGCCGUCCUCAGCAAGAUCUCAUGGAAGUGAUGUACUCGCUCACUCCCUCUGGGGGGACACUUGACCUCCACCACUGCUGUGGUGCCCACCAGGCCAUCCGGUGAGGCACCCAGGAUCCCAGACUCCAUGACACAAAGCCUUGACUCCUGCAGAUCCAUCCCUGUAGCCAUUUUUAUUGCCCUCGUCUUUGAUAUCUAUGCCCCACUUUACAGACAACAACCCAUCCAAUGACUGUGAUCGGAGGACCCUUUUAGCAGCAACAGAGUAACAGGCUUGGCCCUAACCACUGCUCCAUAACUGCUGGCCGUCAACCUCCCUCCCCUCAUGGUGUGCCAGUUGGGGUUGGUGCGCUGUCCAGCUUGGUGCGCUGGUGUUGUUGUGCUGCUCUAAAGCCUCCUGCUGCUCCACCGACAGCGCCACGCCAGCCAGGAUGCCUGCAAGCCCCAGGUUCCCUUGCUUCUAAACAAUGUCCGGUACAGACAGGGAUGACAGAAAGGGUAGCGGUUGUUCUGGCUCAGGUUCAUGGAGAUAUGCCAUUCCAUUGAACUUGCCCUGGAGACGGUUCCUUAGCCACUGAAGAUCGUCCUCUGUGGGAUCCCCUGGACAGAGGGUUGCAGUCUUCGGCCGGGUACAGGUCCGCCACUAACUGCACCUAGUUGGGCACGGCUGGCUUAGGCUAUAUGGCUACACUUACGAGCUCCACGGAGGCAUUCGCAUGGGGUAGAGAGAAUCCCCUGGUCACCUAUAAACACCUGCCAAGAUGAAGGAUAUUAAGUGCCACGUCUUUCAAUGUAUGACUUUGAACACCUUUUAAUUAAUUUGUAAUAAGAAAUGUGCUAUAUAAAUAAAGUUUGAUUUGAUUGAUGACAUUAGAAGGUGUAUAAUAUUUCAUA